rnacentral:rRNA from 1 species
UGUAAAGUUCAAGCUCCGAUUAUGAGGGCGAAACCGCGAAUGGCUCAUUAAAUCAGUCAUAAUCUACUUGAUUGUUUGAAGGUUAUAUGGAUAACUGUGGUAAUUCUAGAGCUAAUACAUGCUAAAAGGGGGCGACUCUCUUUUGAAAGAGAGAGAGAAGCUCUGCGUUUAUUAGACUAAGACCAGUGGUGUGUAAAAACAUCUCAAAAUAUGGUGACUCUGAGUAAAUAAUGGGUGAAAGCCCAUGAUGCCGACCUGGCUUCAAAGCCAGGCGAUUCAAUCGAGUGUCUGCUCUAUCAACUGUGGAUGGUAGGAUAAUUGCCUACCAUGGUGAUGACGGGUAACGGGGAGUUAGGGCUCGACUCCGGAGAACAAGCCUGAGAAACGGCUAGUAGGACUAAGGUCUGCAGCAGGCGCGAAACUUACACAAUGCUAGAUUUCUAAUAAUAGCGAUGUAGUGAAGAAAAAUAACGAUGUACUUGUAUUUAAACAUACUAGUACAAUUGGAAUGAGACGACUCUAAACCAGUUAGUCGAGUAACAAAUGGAGGGCAAGUCUGGUGCCAGCAGCCGCGGUAAUUCCAGCUCCAUUAGCAUACAUUAAAGUUGUUGCGGUUAAAAAGCUCGUAGUUGAAGUUUUGGUUGUUUGUUUUUGUUGAGCUCGCUAAUGAAUCCUUAGGUGUUCCCAGAUUAUACAAUAAUCAAGCAACGGUUUCUUCUCUUAUUCUAGUGCGAAACACGGGUGGAUUAUAAUUCUCUUUUUUUAUCAACCAAGUUUACCUUGAGAAAAUUAUAGAGCGCACAGAACGCGGUUUUGUUGUGUAAACCCAUUUAUGCUUGAAUAAUGUGGCAUGGAAUAAAAUAAAACAGCCUCUCUUCUAUUCUGUUGGUCUUAUAUAACAACAAACAGGUGUGCGUCAAUGCGUUGUGUAUGUUGUCUUGAGCCUUAAAACUCUCAAGUACCAUGCCAUCAAAAGCACAGCCACCGGAGGCAAUGGUUAAAAGAAAUAGUCGCGGCGGCAUCAGUACUGCAUCGUGAGAGGUGAAAUUCUUAGACCGAUGCAAGACUAACUGAAGCGAAAGCGUUUGCCGAGGAUAUUUUCAUUAAUCAAGAACGAAAGUUAGAGGUUCGAAGGCGAUCAGAUACCGCCCUAGUUCUAACCAUAAACGUUGCCAACUAGCAAUUGGGUUGCGGUAGCUAUGGAUGGCUGGUCUAAAAAGCCAGCCAACCUUUACGACCCGCCCAGCGGCUCUCGUAGGGAAACCAAAGUGUUUGGGUUCCGGGGGAAGUAUGAUUGCAAAGUUGAAACUUAAAGGAAUUGACGGAAGGGCACCACCAGGAGUGGAGCCUGCGGCUUAAUUUGACUCAACACGGGGAAACUUACUAGAUUAGAACUCUGGAAUGAUUGACAGAUUGAUAGCUCUUUCUUGAUUCAGAGGAUGGUGGUGCAUGGCCGUUCUUGAUUCGUAUUCCGAAACGUCUGCUUAAUUGCGAUAACGAGUGAGACCUCCUCCAGCUAACUAGGGUUGCAUGCUUGCUGAACACUAAAUGUUUUUUGGAUCUUUCACGAGAUCUCUUGAGACAGUUCUACAAAUCGUGUAGCGCCUUCUUAGAGGGAUAAACGGUGUUUUAGCCGUAAGAAACGAG